rnacentral:rRNA from 1 species
GACGAACGCUGGCGGCGUGCCUAAUACAUGCAAGUCGAACGCAGUGGGGACGGGUGAGUAACACGUGGGUAACCUCCCAUCAGAGGGGAUAACACUUGGAAACAGGUGCUAAACCGAUACCGAUUGAUCGAGCCGUGGUGCAUUAGCUAGUUGGUGGGGUAAAGGCUCACCAAGGCCACGAUGCAUAGCUGGUCUGAGAGGAUGAUCGGCCACACUGGAACUGAGACACGGUCCAGACUCCUACGGGAGGCAGCAGUGGGGAAUAUUGGGCAAUGGGCGAAAGCCUGACCGAGCAAUGCCGCGUGAGUGAAGAAGGUCUUCGGGUCGUAAAGCUCUUUUGUUGGGGAAGCGGUAUCUAAAGAGAAAGCACCGGCUAACUACGUGCCAGCAGCCGCGGUAAUAC